UACAGAGGUCCCAAGCGUUGUUCGGAUUCAUUGGGCGUAAAGGGUGCGUAGGCGGCGCGGUAAGUCGGGCGUGAAAUCUCGGAGCUUAACUCCGAAACUGCAUUCGAUACUGCCGUGCUUGAGGACUUGAGAGGAGACUGGAAUUUACGGUGUAGCGGUGAAAUGCGUAGAUAUCGUAAGGAAGACCAGUGGCGAAGGCGGGUCUCUGGACAGUUCCUGACGCUGAGGCACGAAGGCCAGGGGAGCAAACGGG
rnacentral:rRNA from 1 species